rnacentral:rRNA from 1 species
GACGAACGCUGGCGGCGUGCCUAAUACAUGCAAGUCGAACGCUUCUUUCCUCCCGAGUGCUUGCACUCAAUUGGAAAGAGGAGUGGCGGACGGGUGAGUAACACGUGGGUAACCUACCCAUCAGAGGGGGAUAACACUUGGAAACAGGUGCUAAUACUGCAUAACAGUUUAUGCCGCAUGGCAUAAGAGUGAAAGGCGCUUUCGGGUGUCGCUGAUGGAUGGACCCGCGGUGCAUUAGCUAGUUGGUGAGGUAACGGCUCACCAAGGCCACGAUGCAUAGCCGACCUGAGAGGGUGAUCGGCCACACUGGGACUGAGACACGGCCCAGACUCCUACGGGAGGCAGCAGUAGGGAAUCUUCGGCAAUGGACGGAAGUCUGACCGAGCAACGCCGCGUGAGUGAAGAAGGUUUUCGGAUCGUAAAACUCUGUUGUUAGAGAAGAACAAGGACGUUAGUAACUGAACGUCCCCUGACGGUAUCUAACCAGAAAGCCACGGCUAACUACGUGCCAGCAGCCGCGGUAA